UGGGGAAUAUUGCACAAUGGGGGAAACCCUGAUGCAGCGACGCCGCGUGAACGAAGAAGGUAUUCGUAUCGUAAAGUUCUGUCCUAUGGGAAGAUAAUGACAGUACCAUAGAAGAAAGCUCCGGCUAAAUACGUGCCAGCAGCCGCGGUAAUACGUAUGGAGCGAGCGUUGUCCGGAAUUAUUGGGCGUAAAGGGUACGCAGGCGGUUUAAUAAGUCGAAUGUUAAAGAUCGGGGCUCAACCCCGUAAAGCAUUGGAAACUGAUAAACUGGAGUAGUGGAGAGGAAAGUGGAAUUCCUAGUGUAGUGGUGAAAUACGUAGAUAGUAGGAGGAAUACCAGUAGCGAAGGCGACUUUCUGGACACAAACUGACGCUGAGGUACGAAAGCGUGGGGAGCAAACAGG
rnacentral:rRNA from 1 species